GAUGAACGCUGGCGGCGUGCCUAAUACAUGCAAGGCGAGCGAACAGACGAGGAGCUUGCUCCUCUGACGUUAGCGGCGGACGGGGCACCAACACGUCGAUAACCCUCCUAUAAGAGUGCGACAACUUCGGGAAACCGCAGCUAAUACCGGAUAAUAUAUUGAACUUCAUUGUUCAAUAGUGAUAGACGGUUUAUCUGUGAUUUAUAGAUGGAUCCGCGCCUGAUGAGCUAGUUGGUAAGGUAACGGCUUAACAAGGCGACCAUGCGUAGCCGACCUGAGAGCGUGACCGGCCCCACUGGCACUGAGACACGGUCCACUCUGCUACGCCAGGCAGCAGUAGGGCCUCUUCCGCAAUAAGCGGAUGCCUGACGGAGCAGUGCCGCGUGCGUGGCGAAGAUCUUCUGAUCGUAAACCUCUCUUAUUCGGGAAGAGCCCCUGUGUCACUGCCUAUGCACGUCUUGACGGCCCCUAAUUCGGCAGCCACCGCUAACUACUUG
rnacentral:rRNA from 1 species